rnacentral:rRNA from 1 species
CUUGGGGUGUUGUACUUGGACAUAAUGAACAUUUGUUUACUCUGUAAAUGGAUCUGGAAAUUGGAAAAUGAGAAGGGGGUGUGGUUGGACCUAGUGAGGAAUAAAUAUCUAAGAAAGUGUACUCAUAGGAAUAGUAAAAGUAAACCUGGACAUGCUCAUUUCUGGCAGGGGCUUAUGAAAGUUAAACAUGUUUUCUUACAAUAUAGUAGGAAGAUGGUGGGUAAUGGUGAAAGGACUUUGUUUUGGAAUGAUGUUUGGUUAGGAGAUAGGCCUUUAAGCUUGAAAUUUCCUAGGCUGUAUUUGCUUACUUUUAGUGUUGCUAAUGCCCUUUCUGAAGGCAUGAGUAAGAUUAGAUUCGGAAGGAUUCUUUGGGGGGAGACGACUGAUAUGUGGUAUGAGUUAAAGGAAAUUUGUAAGGAUGUUGUGCUAACAAAACAAGGUGAUACGUGUUCUUGGUUGCCAGAUAAAACUGGCAAAUUUACUGUUCGAUCAUUGUACUUGGUUUUAAAAACUAAUCAGGUUCCAUGGCCACAUAGAAAGUUGUGGUAUGUUAAAAUCCCUUUGAACAUUAAAGUGUUUCUUUUGUUGGUUUUCAAAAAUAGUGUUCGAACUAGAGAUAAUUUGGCCAAACGAAACUAUAAGGGAAGGAUGUAA